AUCUGGUUUAGUUAGGAAGCGUACAGAAAAGUGAAGGUUAACCCUGAGGCCUGUUUUUGAGGGGACUCCAUGUAUCUCCUUGUGAUACUCCCCAGGCAGCCUUGGACAUUU